rnacentral:rRNA from 1 species
UACGCAGGGGGCUAGCGUUGUCCGGAAUCAUUGGGCGUAAAGAGCGCGUAGGCGGCUAGAUAAGUCCGGUGUGAAAGUCACAGGCUCAACCUGUGAAUGCCGCUGGAAACUGUCUGGCUAGAGUCCGGAAGGGGCGAGUGGAAUUCCUGGUGUAGCGGUGAAAUGCGCAGAUAUCAGGAGGAACACCAAUGGCGAAGGCAGCUCGCUGGGACGGUACUGACGCUGAGGCGCGAAAGCGUGGGGAGCAAACAGG